rnacentral:rRNA from 1 species
CAGUAGCCGCGGGAAUACGUAGGUGGCAAGUGUUGUCCGGAAUUAUUGGGCGUAAAGGGCUCGCAGGCGGUUUCUUAAGUCUGAUGUGAAAGCCCCCGGCUCAACCGGGGAGGGUCAUUGGAAACUGGGAAACUUGAGUGCAGAAGAGGAGAGUGGAAUUCCACGUGUAGCGGUGAAAUGCGUAGAGAUGUGGAGGAACACCAGUGGCGAAGGCGACUCUCUGGUCUGUAACUGACGCUGAGGAGCGAAAGCGUGGGGAGCGAACAGGAUUAGAUACCCCGGUAGUCCCUGUCUCUUAUAC